rnacentral:rRNA from 1 species
AACGUAGGAGACAAACGUUAUCCGGAGUUACUGGGCGUAAAGGGCGUGUAGGUGGUUUCGUAAGUCUGGCGUGAAAUUUCUCGGCUUAACCGAGGCAGGUCGUCGGAUACUGCGGAACUAGAGGACGGAAGAGGCGUGUGGAAUUCCGGGUGUAGUGGUGAAAUGCGUAGAGAUCCGGAGGAACACCAGUGGCGAAGGCGACACGCUGGGCCGUACCUGACACUGAGGCGCGAUAGCAUGGGGAGCAAACAGG